UACGUAGGGGGCAAGCGUUGUCCGGAAUUAUUGGGCGUAAAGAGCGCGUAGGCGGCCCGGUUAGUCCGCUGUGAAAGUCCAGGGCUCAACCCUGGAAUGCCGGUGGAUACUGUCGGGCUAGAGUCCGGAAGGGGCGAGUGGAAUUCCUGGUGUAGCGGUGAAAUGCGCAGAUAUCAGGAGGAACACCAAUGGCGAAGGCAGCUCGCUGGGACGGGACUGACGCUGAGACGCGAAAGCGUGGGGAGCAAACAGG
rnacentral:rRNA from 1 species